GAUUAAGUUAUUAAGGGCGCACGGUGGAUGCCUUGGCACUAGAAGCCGAUGAAGGACGUUACUAACGACGAUAUGCUUUGGGGAGCUGUAAGUAAGCUUUGAUCCAGAGAUUUCCGAAUGGGGAAACCCAGCAUGAGUUAUGUCAUGUUAUCGAUAUGUGAAUACAUAGCAUAUCAGAAGGCACACCCGGAGAACUGAAACAUCUUAGUACCCGGAGGAAGAGAAAGAAAAUUCGAUUCCCUUAGUAGCGGCGAGCGAAAUGGGAAGAGCCCAAACCAACAAGCUUGCUUGUUGGGGUUGUAGGACACUCUAUACGGAGUUACAAAGGACGACAUUAGACGAAUCAUCUGGAAAGAUGAAUCAAAGAAGGUAAUAAUCCUGUAGUCGAAAAUGUUGUCUCUCUUGAGUGGAUCCUGAGUACGACGGAGCACGUGAAAUUCCGUCGAAAUCUGGGAGGACCAUCUCCUAAGGCUAAAUACUCUCUAGUGACCGAUAGUGAACCAGUACCGUGAGGGAAAGGUGAAAAGCACCCCGGAAGGGGAGUGAAAUAGAACCUGAAACCGUGUGCUUACAAGUAGUCAGAGCCCGUUAAUGGGUGAUGGCGUGCCUUUUGUAGAAUGAACCGGCGAGUUACGAUUUGAUGCAAGGUUAAGCAGUAAAUGUGGAGCCGUAGCGAAAGCGAGUCUGAAUAGGGCGUUUAGUAUUUGGUCGUAGACCCGAAACCAGGUGAUCUACCCUUGGUCAGGUUGAAGUUCAGGUAACACUGAAUGGAGGACCGAACCGACUUACGUUGAAAAGUGAGCGGAUGAACUGAGGGUAGCGGAGAAAUUCCAAUCGAACCUGGAGAUAGCUGGUUCUCUCCGAAAUAGCUUUAGGGCUAGCCUCAAGUGAUGAUUAUUGGAGGUAGAGCACUGUUUGGACGAGGGGCCCCUCUCGGGUUACCGAAUUCAGACAAACUCCGAAUGCCAAUUAAUUUAACUUGGGAGUCAGAACAUGGGUGAUAAGGUCCGUGUUCGAAAGGGAAACAGCCCAGACCACCAGCUAAGGUCCCAAAAUAUAUGUUAAGUGGAAAAGGAUGUGGCGUUGCCCAGACAACUAGGAUGUUGGCUUAGAAGCAGCCAUCAUUUAAAGAGUGCGUAAUAGCUCACUAGUCGAGUGACACUGCGCCGAAAAUGUACCGGGGCUAAACAUAUUACCGAAGCUGUGGAUUGUCCUUUGGACAAUGGUAGGAGAGCGUUCUAAGGGCGUUGAAGCAUGAUCGUAAGGACAUGUGGAGCGCUUAGAAGUGAGAAUGCCGGUGUGAGUAGCGAAAGACGGGUGAGAAUCCCGUCCACCGAUUGACUAAGGUUUCCAGAGGAAGGCUCGUCCGCUCUGGGUUAGUCGGGUCCUAAGCUGAGGCCGACAGGCGUAGGCGAUGGAUAACAGGUUGAUAUUCCUGUACCACCUAUAAUCGUUUUA
rnacentral:rRNA from 1 species